rnacentral:rRNA from 1 species
UACGGAGGGUGCAAGCGUUAUCCGGAUUCACUGGGUUUAAAGGGUGCGUGGGAGGGCAGGUAAGUCAGUGGUGAAAUCCCCGAGCUUAACUUGGGAACUGCCGUUGAUACUAUCUGUCUUGAAUACCGUGGAGGUGAGCGGAAUAUGUCAUGUAGCGGUGAAAUGCUUAGAUAUGACAUAGAACACCAAUUGCGAAGGCAGCUCGCUACACGAAUAUUGACUCUGAGGCACGAAAGCGUGGGGAUCAAACAGGA